GAUAACGAACGAGACCUUAACCUGCUAACUAGUUGCAAGUACGUGAGUACUGGCACACUUCUUAGAGGGACUGACUACGCUUAGUAGUCGGAAGUUUGAGGCAAUAACAGGUCUGUGAUGCCCUUAGAUGUUCUGGGCUGCACGCGCGCUACACUGACAAAGCCAGCGAGUCUACCUUGGCCGAGAGGCCUGGGAAAUCUUGUGAAACUUUGUCGUGCUGGGGAUAGAUCAUUGCAAUUAUUGGUCUUGAACGAGGAAUUCCUAGUAAGCGCAUGUCAUUAGCAUGCGUUGAUUACGUCCCUGCCCUUUGUACACACCGCCCGUCGCCACUACCGAUUGAAUGGC
rnacentral:rRNA from 1 species